rnacentral:lncRNA from 1 species
UACUUGGGCAAUGGCUCACUGGCAAACUUUCUGUUCAACAUGAAUAAACGCCCAGUGUGGAAAGAGAGAGCCCGAAUUGCAUUGGACGUAGCUAAAGGUAUCUUUUAUUUACAUGAAGAGUGUGAGGUGUGUAUCAUCCAUUGCAACCUCAAGCCCCAUAACAUACUCUUGGAUGAUUCAUUGACUGCAAAGAUUUCAGAUUUUGGGUUGGCAAAGCUAUUGAGGACUAAUCAAACAUGCAGUACCCCUAGGACCAAAGGGACUGCAUGGUACUCGGCACCUGAAUGGCAAAGCAGUGGAUUGGUGUCGGUAAAAGUUGAUGUAUACAGUUUCGGGGUGAUACUAUUGGAGAUCAUAUGUUGCAGAAGCAACAUAGAAGUACAAGUUUGUAGUGCAGAUGAGAUACUGCUUUCUACAUGGGUAUACAGUUGCUUUAUUGGCGGAGAAUUGAAUAAGCUUGUGGAAGGUGAAGAAGAAGUGGACAUGAAAAUGGUGGAAAGAUUUGUGAAGGUAGGGCUUUGGUGCAUUCAAGAUGAUCCCAAUUUGCGUCCAUUGAUGAAAAAUGUCAUCUUUAUGCUGGAAGGAACAAUGACUAUACCAGUCCCUCCAUCUCCAUCACUUCUGUUAUAACUUUGAUUUAGUAUUUACUUUAAUUUUGCUUUUCAUGUGAUGCAUGAUGAUGUGCUUAUUUUUCUUUUCUUUAAUGUAAUGCAAUUAUGUAAGAUAAGAGAGUUUAAUUCUAAAAAAAUAAAAUUUCAGUAGUUAAAAAAAUAAUAGUGUUAAUUUUCUUGCCUUCAAAAUCUGUAUAUAUGGGGCAGCUCUUCACCGAAAAAAAAAAUUCAUUCUUGCCUUAAAAUUUUUUUCUUUUGAUUUCAUAUUUAUUUAAAUGAAUUGAUGUCUAAUUGACUUUUAAUAAAUAAUUAAAAUGUCAUUCCUAUUAAGAAAUGCUAACAAAUAUUAUUAUGAAAUAAUUCAAUCAAAUUGUUGGUGUGUAACUAUAGAAGUAAAAUUAUAAUUAACAAAUGAUAAAAUUGAUGAUCACAUGUCCAAUCGUAUAUGAUAAAACUUAAACUUGAAUACUUAAAAAGUUUAAAUCUCUCUCCUAACCAACAAAACAAAAUUGGGGCUAAAUUAGCCAUAUAUGCUAAUUUAUUUUUUAAAUUGGCCUUUUAAGCUGGAUUUUUGAAAAAUUAGGAAAAUAAACUAUUUUUUUGGAAAGAGGAAUGAAAAAUGUGUCCAAUUGGGCGUACUUUCUACACAGUUGGCAGGAAAGUUCGCAUAACUGGUCGCACUUUCCUGUAAAUUGGAUAGAAAGUGUGUCAACUAAGCGCACUUUCCCCCAACUAGAUACUCCAACGACUUUUUGAAAGUUGGUCGAGCAACGGUAAGAAAAUUUAAAAGAGGGCAACGAUAAAAUUUUUUCACUAUAAAUACCCCCUAUUUUAUUUUUUCACUCACAUCCUAUUCCUUCAAUUCUCUUAAUUCUCUCAAAUUUCUCAAGCUUUUCUUCUAAAUUUUUUGAUAUUCUCAUUUAAAAAUCUUAGUUUUUUUUAAUUAUUCCGUAUUUUAUUUGUUCGGAUUAAAUUUUCACGAAAUAGCAACCUCCCUAAUUCAUUUCGACAACAAGCACAUUUCCGUCACUCAAGUAAUAAUGGUAAGACGAAAUUUUAAAUUUAGUUAUUUUUAAUUAAGUUAAAAUUAAUUUUUUUAAUAUUAUAUUUUUUUGUUAUUAUAAAUAGGUGGAUGAUUGUGUUUUGGAGGGGAUCAUACAUAAUUUGGUAGCGUCUCCGAUCACCUAAAUUCAUGGUUACUUGUAAAAGGUGAGAUUCUUGCAUACGUCUCGUAUACUUGGGGGUUGCAAACUUAACCCUACACUCAUCAGCAUGUUGGUGGAAAAAUGGAGGUUUGAAACACACACUUUUCAUCUUUCAUGUGACAAGUGUACAAUCAUACUCAUAUGAUCAUCCUCUUUAUUUAGCACCAAAUUGGUUUCCAUAAAAAAUUAUAAUAUCCUUUUAAGUCUUUUUAAAAUUAAUCCUAUUAGAAUUAUUGAUUUAGUCUAAAGCUGAUCAUGGGUCGGGCCGAACCGAGGCAAAAAGUCUAGGUUUGGGCUCGAUCUACCCAUAUUAAAAUCUUUUAUAUAAUUUUUAUAUAAAAAUAAAUUUAAAAAAUAUAAUACAUCAAAUACUUUAAAAAUAUUAAAAUAAUUGUUUACCAACAAAUUAAAAAUACAUUAAAAAAUAUUUAUGCUUAAAUAACACUAAGAUAUAUACAACUUCACAAGUAAAUGCCUUUAAAAAAAUAGUAAAAUUAACAAUGAAACAAAAUUUAUACAAUAUUUAAAUAUUAACAACAAAAUAGUAGUAAUAUAAUAGCGAAAUUAUAGCAAAAUAAUAAUAAAACAACAACAAUUUUUCUUAUGCAAAUUCGGGCCGAAUUGGGCCUGAGUUGAAAAACUUACCUAAGACCCGAUCCUUUUAAAAAUUUAUCAUUAUCAUUUUGUCCAAACCUAUUUUAGAAACCUUUAUUUUUACCAAAAAUUUUCCAAACUUUUUGGGUCAGUCCUAUUCGCCCUGUCUAAUUUAGCCUAUAUUCAAUUUCCUCCUUUGCGUUUGCUUUUUGUUGUUUUCUAAAAAUUCAGCCUUUCAAAUUCCAAUUAAAUAAUUUGUUGAUAUUUUUAAAUUUUUAUUAUCUUUUCGACUUCAGCCAUUUAUUAUUUCGUCAUCACUUGCAAAAUAGAAGAGAGAAACACCAUAUUUCCCAUGGCUUCGGUGUGGGCUUUUCUCUUGCUCCUUUCUUCUCUCUGCGUGAAGCAGUCAAGCAGCAUCAUUUCGCUGGGAUCUUCGCUUUCCUCGGCCACUCAAUCCAUCCCGUGGCGUUCUCCUUCUGGUCGCUUUGCAUUUGGCUUUUACAGUCAAAACGGUGGCCUUUCUGUUGGAGUUUGGUUAGACGGCAGACGAAAGAACGAUAACAAAGUUGUAUGGACAGCAAAUCGUAAUGAGCCGCCGCUCACUUCGAAUGCAACUCUGAUAUUAAAUGGCAAAGGUGUGCUUCUUUCGAUCGCUGUGAGCGGAGAAAAGAAAUUUAUUGCUAAUCCAAACAAUUCGGAUGUCAGUGUCUUCUCUGCCUCCAUGCUAGAUUCAGGCAAUUUUGUGCUCUACAACAAAGACAAUCAUACCAUUUGGGAGAGUUUCGAUAAUCCUACUGAUACCCUUUUAGGAGGUCAGACUUUAUUAACUAAUCACAAGUUGAUCUCCAGUUCAUCAGAGAAUGAUCACUCACCUGGAAGGUUUCAUCUUACCAUGCAAAGAGAUGGGAAUCUCGUUCUAUACCCUCUAGAGUUCGAAGAUUCUCCUCCAAAUGCCUAUUGGAGCACAGAUACUUUUGGGAAGAACUUGUCGCUCAGCCUUUUUCUUAACGCCACAGGCCUCCUCGAACUCAUCAACAACGAUAAUUCGUCCAUCUACGACAAAAUUAAUCGUUGCUUUUCUAAAGAGCCGACAUACAAUGACUACAACGAAAGCAGCAGCAACAACAACAGUACUGUUUUCAGUGCAAGCCUUGAUGUUGAUGGGAAUUUCCGGUUAUAUGCUCAUCUGUUUGAGCAAAAUGGUGGGUUUCACACUUAUCUACUGUUGAGGGCGGUGUUAAAUUCCUGUAAAGUUAAAGGUUUUUGUGGUUUCAACAGCUAUUGCACAUUUAAUGAUUAUCAACCCUACUGUGCAUGCCUCCCCGGGACUGAUUUUAUUGAUCCUCUUCAGAACAAGCUCGGCUGCAAGAGAAAUUAUUCUGAAGCACACUGUAAAGGAGGGAAGGCCAAUAUACCCUUUUAUAACAUGACUUCAAUGCAAGGUAUUGUAUGGACUACGGGCAUAUUUUACAGUAAAGAGCAACUGUCCAAGGAUGCGUGCAGCCGAACAUGUUUGGAAGACUGCAAUUGUGAGGCAGCACAGUUCGAGAAUGGGAUUUGCAGGAAACAAAAGCUUCCACUCAGGUAUUUGCUACGAGAUCCUGGUGCCGGAGAGAUUUCUAUAGUUUUAUUGAAGGUGGGAAUCAAAAGCCUUGAAGCAGACGACGACACUGUUCUCUCUGAAUUAAAGCUACCCAAAGUCCUAAUCAAACGGAAAAAUACGACGGUGCUACUACUUCUUUUAACUCUCAGUUUUGUUGCAUGUUCAUGUGCUUUGCUUACAAUCUCUGGUGUAUACAUUUAUAAAUUUCGAGUUCUAAGAUACAAAAGGCUGUUGGAACUUGGAAAUUUGGGCCUAACGGAAGAGCUUACGUUGACAUUGUUUUCAUACAAAGAACUAAAGAGAGCAACAAAUGGGUUUAAAGAAGAGUUGGGUAAAGGAUCCUUUGGAGCAGUCUACAAAGGGUCUUUAGACAGAGGAAGACAGUUGAUUGCUGUGAAGAGACUCGAGAAGUUAGUGGAAGAAGGUGAAAAAGAGUUCCAAGCAGAAAUGCGAGCAAUUGGUAGAGCUCACCACAAGAAUUUAGUUCGACUUUUGGGAUACUGUGUUGAGGAUUCCAAGAGACUAUUGGUGUAUGAGUACAUGGGCAAUGGCUCCCUUGCAGAUCUACUUUUCAAGUCAACAAAGCCCCCAGAUUGGGAUGAAAGAACAAGAAUAGCCCUGGAUGUUGCUAGAGGAAUCCUCUAUUUGCAUGAUGAGUGUGAGACUCCAAUCAUUCACUGUGAUAUAAAGCCGCAAAACAUAUUGAUGGAUGAUUUAUGGAGAGCUAAAAUUUCGGACUUUGGGCUGGCAAAACUGUUGAUGGGAGAUCAAACAAGGACCUUCACAGGCGUAAGGGGAACUAGAGGAUACAUGGCACCAGAGUGGCAGAAAAAUACUCCAAUAUCAGUGAAGGCUGACAUUUACAGUUACGGAGUUGUGCUGUUGGAGACUGUGUUUUGCCGACGGAACUUGGAAACCAAUGUAUCAAAACCAGAGGAGGUCAUUCUAUCAAGUAUGGUGUAUAGAUGUUUGGUUGAAAAGGAGUUGGAUAAGCUAAUGCUUGGUGAAGAAGUGGAUAAAAGAAGCUUGGAAAGAAUGGUGAUGGUGGCACUUUGGUGUAUUCAAGAUGAACCAGCUCUUCGUCCUUCCAUCAAGACUGUAGUAAUGAUGCUGGAAGGGAUCACUGAUAUAUGUAUUCCUCCAUGUCCAACUGCUUCCUUCAUCAAGUGAUGAUCCAACAAUCAAUCAUUUCACUCAAAAGUAUAUGUGUAUGUUGUCAAUAAAAUAUGUAAAAUGCUUCCUGUAGUGUCCUCCUAUAAUAGGCUUGGGUUAUGUACUGGUUUGUUAGUAUGAAUAUUCAGUUGCAUUAUUAUUACUCAAUCAUAUAUUAAUGAAAUGGUGAUUUUAAGUAUGAUCAUUAAACACGAAGUAUAAAGAAUUUACUUACAGUUACUGAUUAUCCAAUCGUAAGAAGCAGUAUUGCAGUAGCCAGUUGAUGAGUUUAUGUAAUAUGUGGAAAACUAUUACUUGCCUACAGUAGAUGAGUUUAUAUAGUAGCUCGACUUAAAUAGUACAAAAGCAAAUACAAUAUUGAUAUAUAUACUAAUGGCCACAUAUAAGGGUGGGUUUACGACCCUAACCCGGCCUAAUGUACUACCAUAAGAUAAUUGGAUAGUGACCAAUUGGACUAAUGGGUUAUUUUGUCACAUAAAAAACUUUUGAGUUGGUAGUCUCUAGUCUGGGCCUUUAUACAUAGAACAACAAUUUUCAGGCCUAAUUGAGUUUCAUUUAAGCUAGUACUCAAAGCUUGGCCUUAUAAAAUGGAAUAAAUUAUAAAUACAAUAUAUUAAUACUCAAUAGGAAAAUAUAAAUUAUUAUAUACUUUUAUAUUUAAUUAAAUAAAUGUUAAUCGUUAAAUUUUAAAAUUUAUUUUUUAUUAUUUUAAAAUAAAAUUAAUAGUUAUAAUUAAAAUAAAAUAAAAAGGGAUAAAUUAGUAAUAUAAUAAGUUAAUACUCAAUAGAAACAUUAAACUAUUAUACCCUUUUGGGUAUGGAGUGAGUUCAAAACUCGUGACCAACAUUUAUCUUCUUAAUGAGCCUACAAAAUACGAAAAAUUAAUUACUAGACUUGAUCUAAUAGAUACAAUGAGAAAUUUUAAAAAAUAAUUAUUCCAAAAUUUCAAAAUUAUUUAACUAUUUGACCCAAAUCAAUUAAUAUCCAAAAUGGAUAAAAUAAUUCAUACAGAAAAACUCAGCCCAUCAAUAGGUGUGCUCCCAACCCAGAACAAUAUAAAUCCAAAGAUAAUUCGAUCCGAAUCCGCCAAACCCACCCGUUUGGUUGAAGGAGACCCGUUCUUCUGCAUUGCUUCCUUUUGUGCUUCUGAUCUAUGGCUUUAUUCUCGAGUUGAAGGAAAAGUUAAAUGGCUCCAGCAAAGAAGGGAAAAGUCAAAACCCAGAAAGCUGAAUCAUCGCAGCCCUCUGAAAGUGACUUCAAGUUCCCAUCUUCAAUCCGCUCGGUUCCUCCUUCGUCUGUUGCCUCCUUCGUCUGUUAUUCAAUUUUUGCAUGGGAAAAAGUAAGAUGGAUGAAGAGGAGAAAAACCCAAAAGGCAAAAAUAAGAAAAAGAAAUGAAAAAGACCUAUGCGUAUGCACCCAAACGUGUUUGCCUAGGUAGUUAUGAAGAAGCAAGAGUCUGAACUGUUCUAUUUAAUGGGUUUCCCCUGUAAUUUAUAUAGUUUAUAUUUAAUAUAAUAUUUGUAUAGCUGCUUCUUUUAGAUACUGUUUUUCGCUACUUGAAUUGCUAUUCGUUGGUUAAUUUAGUUCUUUUUGAGUUGUUUCUUACUGGGUUUUUUCUUCCCCUUAUGAAUGAGCUUCUGAUUGUUAUUUAUGGCUUUUCUACUUGCAGUGAAACUAUCUGCACGGGUGUUUCAAGUUCGAAUUUUCAGUUUCCCUUAAAAGGGUUUGAUUGUUCCACUUUUAGCUUCUUCUUCUUCUUUUUUUUUUUUUGUAAAUUUUAUAAUAUGGCAUCAUCUCAUAGCAAUACUCACACUGAAGCCGCAAAAAUGGAACAAAUCAUCACUGAAUUCUUCUAUAAGAGUCUUCUAAUUAUACUUGAAUCGAGGUCUCCUUAUGUGUCAUCGCGAAAUUAUAUUGGUGAACAAAUUAUGUCAUCUCCAUCUUCGUCCCCAUCAUCUUUCUCAGGUGUGAGACCAAGAGAUAAAUGGUUCAAUUUAGGGAGUGCCCUUCAGAACUAGAAAAUUUUUAUCUUUGUCGCCAGAGUAAUUUUGAGCCGGUAGUGAUUGAUGUUAUCUUGGAGCAGAAGCCACUUGAUUGGGAUCCUGUGACCUUUUCCCCCAAACCUGAUCUUGUUAAGCAUUCUUCAUCAAAAGAUAAGAAUUCAUUUUUCUGGAAUUCUGAUCAAGAAGAAUCAGGCUGUGAGGCAAAAGGUGAGAAGGUUAUAGAAAGGUGGUUCGUGCAGCAUGAAAGUAGAAAGGGUAGGGAUUGCAGUUCAGGGAGUAGAAGGUCAAGUAGUAAUAAUUUGAGUGCAUUAUAUAAGAAAUUGUUAUUGCUGUUGAGGUCCUUAUAUGUGACCUUUAGGCUUUUACCUGCGUACAAGAUUUUUCGUGAUCUCAAUUCAUCUGGUCAAAUCCGUGCUUUUAAGCUUCUUCCUAGGGUAUCCUCUUCUGAUAAAUCUUUCACUCAGAAAGACGAGGCUGAAAUGCAGCCAUUUUGGUUCACCCCUGUGGAUACUUCUUGUGGAAGGCUUUGCCUUUCAGUUUUGUACCGUUCAUCAAUCUCAGAUACAAGCUCCCAGUCAUCAACCCCUAUGUCCCCUCAAUUUAUACCAGAUUAUGUUGGAAGCCCAUUGACAGACCCACUAAGAAGAUUUCCUUCUCUUCCUGUGUCACAGCCCAUUGACCGCCUUCAGUUUCUCUCUCACCAUCCCCAACACAUUCAGAAUCACAUGCUUUGGUUUCUAACCCAAGCUCUCGCCGUGCGUGCCGCCACCUAUGAGCUUACCUCCUCAUCCUCCUGGGGCAUCUCUACCUCAUAAGAAGAAUACAAACUUUGAUGAGUAUUGGCCUUCCCCAAAUUUUUCUGCUUCCCCUUCCCCUUCCCCAUCCCCGCCCAUCCGCAUUCCUGGGGGUCAUCUGUCAAAAGCUCUUUUACGUUCCGAAAGUGCUCAUGUUAACAUACCUGUCUGUAAGCUUGCUGGUUCCCCUGCAUUCCUGCAAGCAAAAUUUGCCACCAUCUCCUCCCCUUAAAGUUUCAAGAGCUGAUAGUUCUUGGACUGAUAAUAAUAUGGGUCCCAUGAAACCUGGCGCAACUAUCGAGAAGGUAUUUCAUAUAUGCCUCAUUGGUAUGAUUUGUGAUUCCAACCCUAUCUUGUUUUUCUCCUUGGAAUUUACUAUCGUUUUGUAUCUUAUAGCUGUUCUCUUUCGGGAAAGGAGACGGUCAGAAAUAUUCUGGAGUGAACUCACCCAGAAUUUCAUUUUUCAGAAGCUCCAGUAGGUCUAUACAAGAUGAUUUUGAUGACUCUGAGUUUCCUUGUCCAUUUGAUGUGGAGUAUGAUGAUACGGACGCUGGUAGCAGGUAAUGCACAGAACUCCUCAUAUAAAUUGUAUUUUUUAGAUUAACCCUUUUUGCAUCAUUUGUCAAUAGCUCAUACAAUUAAUUUACAUAUUUUUCUUUUUAACUUCGAAGUUAUUUUUAUCCAGAUUUCUUGAGGAUUUGACACUUAAUUAAUUGUUCUUGUGUAUUUGAAAAUGUGGCAUCAUUUUUUUUUUUUGUAUUAACAUAAUUUUCUCAGGACUUAAUUUGGUUGCUUUAACUUACCCUGGAGUAAUUUGCUAAAGGUCAUGUAAGCAAGCCAUCAUGUGUAUGGUAAGACUAAUAAUUGCCUUUUCUUUUUGAAUUUUGUCUUGAACUAGUUCUGAUCUCAUAAGACUGGAUGUUAGCAAUUGAUGUACUUUCUAGGAAACUGAAUAAUCAUUUUUAAGCAAAGAGAUUGUGCAUUAGAAACUUCAAUACCUUGCUGCUAGGAGUCUAAGUAGUGGCAUUUCUGGUUCAAGAAUCGGGAUAUAUCAGUUAUGAAGAGUUUCCAAAUAAAGUUUGUUUUCUAUUUUUGAGCAAGCCACCCUGGCUGGCAUUAAGCAUGUUCAAUACCUAGUCCAGGUAGUACCUGUAGUGAAAUAUCUGUUUCAGGGAUUGGGAUAAGUAGUGGUCUAUCAAUCUAUGGAGAGUUGCCAAUUAAACUUUGCUUUCCAGUUUUGUGAAAGAAAGUAAGAAACUUCACGGCAUUAUAAAUUUAGAUAUAUCAGGUAGUCUGCAAAAUUUGUUUUCUAGUUUUCAGAAAGACAGCCUGGCUGGUUAACUUGAAAAUGUUUAGUAGAUAUGAAGUUGGAUUGUAUAACCAUGCUGAAGUUUCUUGUGCCAGUUGAAUUUUGCAGCAAGCGGUGGUAACUGCUAAUCAUACUUCAGUUGUUUCUUGUAAUGCGCAACCAGUAUCAGUGAAUGAAUCAUAGUUGUUUUGGUAUCUUCAAUUUUAACAUAGUUAUUAACAAUGUAGAACUGCAGGAACAUGUCUUCAGGUCACGUGGUAGGAUUGGGGCCAAUUUCUGUGUAUGACUUGGCCCUUAUGUUUGAGGCAGCUGAAACAACAGCUGUCUUACUUUUUUUCUUUUGAUUGGUGAGUAAAUUAAAUUAAUAUAAAGAUGGGUGAUUAAGAGGAGGCCAAAAAACAAAGAUGGUUGAUUAAGAAUGAUUUGUUAAUGACUAAAGGAUAUGGUGGUUGCAGCAACGUUCUAUGCAUCCUUCUUGCUUGUCACUAAUUUGAUUUGUUCAGUUUCUUGAGUUACCUCUAAAACUACAACAAAAUGUAGUCGAAUGGCUUGUGUCAGUUGCAUUUGUAAUAACUCUGAUAAUCCUUUAUUAAAACAUGGAACUUUAUCAGUCUGUGUUGCUUUCCUGUAAUACCAGACACAACAAACUGCUUGAAGGAUCAAACAUCAUUUUGUCACUUUGAUUUAUUUUAUGGCAUACUCAGAUGUACACAUGAACAAAGUAUUCAUAUACUAAUUUCUACUAGUUAGCUUCGUAUUUAUAAUUAUUAUAUAGGGUUAUGUUUGGUAUUCUAAUGAUAUUUAGAUUUAGGGAAUAACUUAAAUAUUUAUUUUAGUUUCUAGGAGCUUUUGAAAUUGAGAUGUUGGGAUUAUAGAUAAUGGAGAUUUUCAUAUGUGGGCUAUCAGAGUUGGAUUUUUUUCGUCUUUAUUUCUCCCUAAGUUCAUCUAUUCCCCCUACUUCACGUUUUUGAGGUUCCAUGAAAUUACCAUGGGUGAAGAAAUCCAAAAGUUCUAAAGGUAAUUUGAACAUUUGACAUUCUCUUUACUGCAAUUGUUAGCUCAAAAUGUUCCCUCAAGAAAAUCCUUUAACCAUUGACUUAAGCAGGAUCAUUAAUCGAAAAUGAGUCAUGGAAUUCAUAUCCAAAUCCUACAGCACUUAUUUGAUCCUCCAACAUUAUAAAAAAAAAAAUAAGAAUCUAUUUUAGCCUUCCAUCUUUUUUAACAUUUGAAUUUGGGUUUUUAUCAAAUAUGUUAUCAUUUAAUUAAUUUUUUUCCGAAAUAAUAAUUAAUUUGAAAGUUGAUUAAAAAUAAUUAUUAUAAAUUUGUUUUGUUUCGUCUACCGAAUCAAGCUGGCAUUAAGAAGGAAAUGUAAAUAUAUACCUGAUGCUCAUCUCUGACACUUGCUUAAAAGGUAAAGAUUCGCAGUUAUGUUUUUAUCCAUUCUUUAAAUGUGUAAGAUCCAUUGAUAAAUGUAAAAAUCAAACUUAUAAUUAAUGAUUAAAUAUACAUUGGAUAGUAAUGAAUGAAAAAGUAAUAGAAUAAAAUCAAACCCUUAACCGAAUGCAUGUUGCAUUGAUCCCAUUUCUUUGUCAAUUAAUUUGCUUUAAUAUCCUAUAUAAACGUAUUUAAGUUCCAAAUGAAAUGUUUUUUUUUUCUUUGCACCGUGUAAUAUAUGAGCCAAAAUAUUAACAUUAUCUUUGAAAAUUCCCACCGUAAUGCCUCAAGGAUCACAAAUAUUGUCCCUAAUUGCACGUCUUGCAACUCCACUGUUUUACCUCCAUCAACGCGUGCUAUUCUUGCUCCAGCUCGGCCUCACUUCUUUCCAAAUGGGUGACACACAAUCCGUAAGUCUCCAAGGAAAUAAUGAUCACAUAUUUCUUCUUGUCUUAUUUCAUGGAAAUUACCAACGUCACUAUUGAAAAGCGUGUAGGUGGACUUGACCAAGACUUUUCUUGGCAAGUGGAGUAGAAGGCCAAAUGUGUUGGUUUCUUUCUAUUUCAUCGGAAUGAAAGCUUCCAGCCAAAGGAAUAGUUUUUUGUUUGGUAAAUUAACAUUUGGGUCAACUAAUUUUUAAAAGGUGAAUAAUGGUCAUUAACCCCUCACUAGAAUGAUGUCGUGACACAUUAACUCUUAACAAUAAUUUUAUAAAUAAUUUAAAAAAAAUUCAAAAAUUUCUUUAUAAAUCUUGAAAUUUAUAAUUUACUUUCUAAAAUUAUAAUUUUCUUUUUUAAAAUUAUAGGCAUACGAUUUUUUUAAAUCAUAAAUUUCUAAAGAGAUUUUGUACUAUACGAACAAGUCUUGUUUUCUCUUAAUGAUUGCUGUUAGUUCUCUUUAGAAGAUCUUGAUUUCAUUUAAGACAUUAAGAUGAAAUUUUGUCAAGGACAACACAGUUGUUGCCAUGCAUCCAUUUAUCUAUUAUCUAACGUAAAGCUAUCAUACUCUUGGUGGUUAAAGUAUGAAAUUUUAAAAAUUCUAAAAGUAUUUGGAAUUUAAAAAAAAUAUAUUAAAAAAUACACAUCUAAAAUGAACUUAGACAACAGGAUAUCUAGAUUCAUUUGAAUAUAUAUAUAGUUUAUCCAAGUUUAUUUUAGUAAGUUUAUAUUUUAGUCACUCAACUUCAAAAAGUUAAAAAAAUAUUGUCAUUGAACUAUUCGAAAGUUUUUAUUUAAGUCACUAGGUUGUUAAGUUUUUUUUUUUAAAUGACCGGCUAGCGAGUUUCCAAGUGACAAAUUGACGAUUGGUACGGUGGGUCAGUACCCAUUACUAAGUAUAAGAACAUACAUUAGAUUUAAGUCGAUUUGAUGAUCAAUGUUAAAUAUCAAAGAACCAAGUUGUUUAGAUUUCGGUUUGCAGAUUCGUGAUAUUCAAAGUUAUUUUAUGAAAAGAAACUAAGUUGUAAAAGAGAAGAAGAGUGAGAGCUUUCGAUUAGAGUAGACGAUUCAAAUAGAGAAGAUCAUAUAGCAACCUAAUGAGUUAAAUGAAAACUUUCGAAUAGUUCAAUGAUCAUUUUGUAACAUUUUAAAGUUGAGUGACUAAAUCAUAAAUAGAGGAAUUCCUGAUCCUAUUUGUAAAAGAAAAAAAAAUCUAUCGUUAAUUUACCAAAUAAUAAUUCUCCACCAAAAAAAAAAAAAAAAGCGGUUCCAAGUGUACCACGGAUUUAGCCUUGCAUAGGUGCGAGGACUUGACCAAGACUUCAAUGGAAUUGUUUUUAUUUUAAUCAACAAAAAUAUCGCUUUAUUUCUUUCAAUUUACAAUUUAUGAACAUGAUAAUAAAACCAAAAACUAUAACUUUCAAAUUGCAGAAAAUAAAUGACUAUGUGCUCACAACCAUUAAGGUAAUGAACAUGCUAGCAUACAUAGUGGAAGAUGAGAAAGGUCCACCUUUCUUUCUUUCCUUCCUUUUUUCUUUUUUUACAUUUUAAAAAAUAAUUAAAUCUUAGUCUUAGUCUCUAAAUUUAAUCUCUAUUUUUAAAUUUAUAACAUAUUUAGUUAGUACAUUUUUAUAAUAACAGUUAGUAUCAUUAAAACAUUUGUAAAUUUGAAUAUCCUAAAAGUCUUAUUUUAGUUAGGAUUACAUUACUUUUUUUGACAUUAUAAACUAUACUAACAUUUGAGAUUUAAUUUAUAUAUUUUAAUUUUUUGACAUAAUUUAAUUUGGUUCCUCUAUUUUUAUCCUUGAGAUCAACACUAUUUCAACAAAAAAAUCAUUUUAUAUUUCUAAAAAACAUUCUAAUCAAUAUUUCUAACCUUAUUUGUAUUACAUCAAAGAAUUUAAUAAAAGAAAUUUUAACAAUAAUAACAACUAAACUUAAAUAUUUAAAUCCGAAAAAUUAACAACUAUAUUCUUAAAAAUAAUAAACCCAGAAUUUUUUAUUCAUAAAUACCAUAGAUUUUAUAAAUUAAAAACACUUGAAUUAAAAACAACUAUAAUCUAGCUUUUUUAGUACAUCAUUUAAGCUUAUAUCAAAAUAUUUUUAUUUUUAUUUUUUAUAAUUAGUUGAAUGAUGACUUCAAACCAAUCCCGCAAAUUCUCUUCGUCCUUCUAUCAAGACUGUAGUGAUGAUGCUGGAAGGGAUCACUGAUAUAUUUAUUCCUCCAUGUCCAACUGCUUCCUUCAUCUAAUUCAAGUGAUUAUCUAAAUUGCAUAUAAAUUUUGGUUAAAUGUGACAUACAAACUUUGAAUUACAACUACAAUUAUUUAUUUCUUUAAAUAUGUAUAUUGAAUCACAAUCAUACAUUUUGACUACAAUUAAAACUUAAUGUAUAUAAUUAUACUAAAUCAAAGUUCAUGCUUCGAAUUGCACAUUGAAAAUGAAAAUGUGCAUAUUAUAUAUAUAUAUAUAUAUAUAUAUAUAUAUAUUAUAAAUUUCAAAAUGAAAAUGUACGAACCAUUUAUUUUAUUUAUGUUGGAUUCAAUUUUUAUUUUUUUGUAAAAACUAAGUGUUAAGUAUGAUUCCUAUUUUAGUCAAAUUUGAGAAAUAAUCUUCUAGUUAAACUCUGUUUAUUUGUUUCAAUCAAACACUGAUUAGUUUAGAUUAUUUUAUUAUUAUUUAACCUAUGAAUUUAGCCUAUAAAUAGACUCUUUUACAACAUUAGAAAUACACACAUUAGAUAUUAGAACCUCAUAACACAUUUAUUUGUUUACAUUUUGAGGGUUUUUUUUCGAGUUUUCGUGGUUUAAUUUUUAUCUUCAUCUUUUGUACUCUUCACUCUUUUGCCAUUAUAGUAAAAUUAUCUUUGCCUGUGAUUUUUUAUCCUCUUUUAGAGGGGUUUUUCCAUUUUAAAUUUAUUCCGCUAUUUUUUUACUUGUUGUUUAAUCGGGUCGAUCCUAACAGUAAGUAAAUUAUUUCAUUUUAACUAAUUUAUUUUUUGACAUAAUGUAUAAAAUUAAUUUACUUAUUCUUUUGAGUAAAAUGAUAAAACACAAUUUUACUUUUAAUAUAAGUGUUUUUAUGGUAAUUUAAAAAAAGAAAUCCUUCUUAAUUAUUUAUAUAUUAAUCUCGUAUAGAUUUCAUACAAACCGAUCAAUGACAAGCGUAUUACGACAAACAUUUGGAUACGUCUGAAAGUGAGAAAAAGUAAAAAUACUUUUGUUUUGAAAAAAAAGAUUUAAAAAAAAAAAAAAAGAGCUAAGCUCUAAUAGUCGGAGUACAUUUGGUUUCGUCUAGCAACAGUGUUCCCGUUUGCUCUCUAACUCGUUUGCUCGUCUCCUUACAUCACCAACCCUAACUAUGGCUCAUUUACUACAGUCAGAUAUUCUCUUUCUAUUCCUUCUCCUUUCUUUACAUGUUAUUAUUAUAGCUCAAGGAAACGAGUCGAACAUCAUCCGACCAGGUUCUUCACUUUAUGCCGGAAAACACCCUCGUUCAUGGCCCUCAUCUUCAGGGUAUUUCCAAUUUGGUUUCUAUCGCCAAGGCAAUGGAUAUGCGGUUGGAAUCUGGCUUGUUGGCCGGCCAGAAAACACCAUUGUCUGGACUGCAAAUCGAGAUGAUCCGACUGUCUCCUCAAAUGCUACUUUGGAAUUCACAACACAAGGCAGUUUGCUUCUUCGGACUGAGGACGGUGUGGAAAAAAUUGCGAAUCUGGCCGGGUCGGUAUCUGUUGAUUCAGCUUCUAUGUUGGACACCGGGAAUUUCAUGCUCUACCAGAACAGGACUGUUGUUUGGGAGAGCUUUAAUUUUCCAACGGACACAAUAUUAGGAGGCCAGAAUUUAAGCGGUUCUCAUAACCAGUUGAUUUCCAGUGUGUCAAGGUCAAACCAUUCAUCUGGGCCAUAUUUGUUGAGAAUGCAGGAUGAUGGUAACCUUGUAGCCUAUGCAAAUAAUCCUGCUGAACUUGAUCCUAGUGAUGCAUACUGGGCCACUAUGACUAAUGGUUGGUAUUUUUCUGUGUUGAAUCUCAAUGAGAGAGGCGUUCUAGCAAUGUAUUCAUCACCAAAAUUCCACCAAGAAAAAGUUUUGGCAAACCUCUCCGCAACUGGGAACGAAACAAUGAUUAUCUACAGAGCAACCCUUGAUCCUGAUGGAAAUUUCAGAUUGUACUCGCAUCAACUCGAACGCAAUACUAUCUCACACAAGUGGCAGAUUCUGAAUGAUGAAUGUGAUGCUAAAGGUCAAUGUGGGUUGAACAGCUACUGCUCCAGCAGGGGUAAGGAUACUGAGUGCUAUUGCUAUCCUGGUUUCACAUUUAUCGACGAGAAUACCAAAUCCCUGGGCUGCUCUCAGAAUUUCACAAUAGAUGGGUGCGUGGCAAGGAAAGAUCUAGUGAUACACUACAACAUCACUACCUUAGACAAUAUGUAUUGGGCUGGUGAUCCUUAUUCUGUGAAGCCUAACUUGGAGAAGGAAGACUGUAAGAAAGCUUGCCAGGAGGACUGCUCCUGUGGCGGAGUUCUCUAUUCUGACACAAAAAGCUGCAGGAUGUAUAGGCUACCGCUCAAAUAUGGUAAAAGACAUGGAAAUAUAACAACCACAGCCUUCAUCAAGUUUAUCCUGGGUAGCACCAUUAGCCCCCCACCUGAAACAAGUCAAAUAUUGAUAAGCGAAGGAAACCAAAGCCUCGUUUUAACUAUGGGCUUAAGUUUGGGUUCCGUUACAAGCUUGUGUUUUGUGAUUGCAAUAUGUAGCUUCCUGUUAUACAGGCACCGAGUCCAAAAUUAUGAGAAGCUUUUAGAAAAUAAAAGUUCAGUAUUAACCGAGCAGUUUACGCUACGAUCAUUCACUUUCGAUGAGCUAGAUGAAGCAACACAUGGUUUUCAAGAUGAGUUAGGUAAAGGUUCAUUUGGAACAGUUUAUAAAGGAAUUUUGCCAGGGGAUGGUAAAAGUAAAACUAUUGCCGUUAAAAGACUGAAGAAAGUUAACGCAGGAGAAACAGAUCAGAUUCGAACCGAGAUGACAGUCAUUGGAAGAACUAAUCACAGGAACUUGGUCCGAUUGCUUGGUUUUUGUGUGGAAGGUUCAAGGAAGCUCCUCGUUUAUGAAUACUUGGGCAAUGGCUCACUGGCAUACUUUCUGUUCAACAUGAAUAAACGCCCAGUGUGGAAAGAGAGAGCCCGAAUUGCAUUGGACGUAGCUAAAGGUAUCCUUUAUUUACAUGAAGAGUGUGAGGGGUGUAUCAUCCAUUGCAACCUCAAGCCCCAUAACAUACUCUUGGAUGAUUCAUUGACUGCAAAGAUUUCAGAUUUUGGGUUGGCAAAGCUAUUGAGGACUAAUCAAACAUGCAGUACCCCUAGGACCAAAGGGACUGCAUGGUACUCGGCACCUGAAUGGCAAAG